rnacentral:misc_RNA from 1 species
UUGAGGAUAAGGAAGCUCCACAAAGAGAGCCCGAAGAGGAAGAAGAGGAGGAGGAGGAUGAGAUAAUCGAAUCGGACAUUGAGCUUGAGGGCGAGACUGUUGAGCCUGAUAAUGAUCCUCCUCAGAAGAUGGGUGACCCGUCAGUAGAAGUCACAGAGGAGAAUCGCGAGGCUUCGCAAGGGGCAAAGGCCAAAGCUAUGGAGGCCAUCUCUGAAGGUAAACUGGAGGAAGCGAUUGACCAGUUAUCUGAGGCUAUUUCCCUCAAUCCGACUUCAGCAAUCAUGUAUGCGACCAGAGCUACUGU